CCUGCACUCAUUUAAAUUAAGUUAAUUAGCUCUGAAAUAACUGUCUAAGAGUCAGGAAGCACAGACUCCACACCAAAAAGACAAAUGGAAAGAGACAAGCAAGAGCUUUGAAUGUUGCAAUUCUGAAGGCUUAGUCACUGCAUCAGCACAGCUCACAAACAGUCUGGUAUUGUCAGGGCUGACUUCUAUACAGCACAUAAAUCUUUAUUAUGAGGCAUAUGUUUCUGACAGCCCCACAGCACACAGGCUGUUGCAAGAUGCCUUUCAAAAGAAGCAUCAGCCUCACCACGUGUGGAAAAGACGGGUUUGCCAUUACAGUGCCUGAUGCAGUUUAAAAAUCUAGCAAGCACUUAGUCUAAGUACGUCAUCUUCAAAAGCCUCACAGGUAAUGGCCAGGCAGAUGUCUGAAACAACUCCACACAGGAAUGCAAGUCCAAAAGGGGAGAUCACUGAGAUGGGCAGGAGCCAAAAAAAAUUGAACUUUGCAUUUGCAAUGCAAUGUUCAUUUAAUGCAUAUUACAAGGGACAGCACGUUAAUAUUCCUCUCCUGAAAGAAUGGCAACAAGAAACAGAAAAUAGAAGAAUGCCAUGAGGAAAGCCAUGGAGUAGCAAGAGCUGGAGAGAGUCACUGCUGCAGACAGGAUUCAAAGAAGUUGUGAAGAUCUGGGCCACUCUUAUGCAGAGGUUUAAAAAUUAACAUGUAAGAGAAAGAGAAAAAGGAAGCAAAUUCAAGAUUUGAAGACUGUUGAAGAUUUGAAGAUGGUUCACCAAAAAACCAGCAGGCUAACAAAUAAACUAUCAGUCCUCUUGAAAUGCCUCACAUAUACACAUUAAUACCAUAACAAAUUCUUGUUCUGACUUCUGCUUCAUGCCAUGAACAUUCUUGCCAACUCUAGCAGGAAGACUCAUGGAUCAGAAGGCAUACUCUGAACAAUAACUGGCCUGAAGAAGAGGGCCUGUUUUUAAUAAACUUCAGAGACAGCCUCACAAGGCUACCCUGGAAACAGCAAGCUGAA